GACGAACCGUGCGAACGUUGUUCGGAAUUACUGGGCGUAAAGGGCUCGUAGGCGGCCAACUAAGUCAGACGUGAAAUCCCUCGGCUUAACCGGGGAACUGCGUCUGAUACUGGAUGGCUUGAGGUUGGGAGAGGGAUGCGGAAUUCCAGGUGUAGCGGUGAAAUGCGUAGAUAUCUGGAGGAACACCGGUGGCGAAGGCGGCAUCCUGGACCAAUUCUGACGCUGAGUGAGCGAAAGCCAGGGGAGCAAACGGG
rnacentral:rRNA from 1 species